AUUGAAACACCGUUUUCCAACCGAUCACCAAAAUUAAGCAACGUCUAGCCUGGUCAGUACCUUGAUGGGUUACCGCUUAGGAAUAUCAGGUGCUAUA